UACGUAGGGCGCAAGCGUUGUCCGGAAUUAUUGGGCGUAAAGAGCUCGUAGGCGGUCUGUUACGUCCGCUGUGAAAACCCAGGGCUUAACCCUGGGCUUGCAGUGGAUACGGGCAGACUAGAGGCAGGUAGGGGAGAAUGGAAUUCCCGGUGUAGCGGUGAAAUGCGCAGAUAUCGGGAGGAACACCGGUGGCGAAGGCGGUUCUCUGGGCCUGUACUGACGCUGAGGAGCGAAAGCGUGGGGAGCGAACAGG
rnacentral:rRNA from 1 species